rnacentral:lncRNA from 12 species
CGCGUCAGCCGCCCUACGCCCAGGGGAGGUGCUCUGUGCAGCCCACAUGCUUGCAGGUGGUCGCGGGUGUUACUGUGGCGGAGGACGAGAGGAGGUCUGUGAGCGAUUUCCAAUAUUUCAAAGGGUUUAAUGGGAAUUCUGAGUUUGCUCAGAUGCGGGUGCAGUCUCGCCGACACUCCCCUCUCCCUUGGCUUUGGCUGUGUGGUGGCACCAGGGACUACCUCGGGCAAGCCAGGAGCAGCUCUGCAGGGCCGGAUGGCAACGCGAUGACUCACCUGGGCUCCGACAGCAGACAGACCUGGGGUCAAGCCUGCGCUCGUCCACUUCCUGGCGGGAGGACUCCGAUGGAGGCGCCUGUCCCUCUGCACCUCCACGUCCUUGUCUGUAGGAUAAGGACAGUAAUGACACCUACCCACAGAGUUGGGGUUGCUCCACGGCUGCGUGGAAAUUUCCUGAGGAAUGCCAGGCCGCUUGCCCUCCUUCCUGACACACAGCCCUCCCUCACUCACUUCGCAGUAGAUGUUCUCUAGAAGCUCUCGCUUAGACCUUCUUUCUCACCACACAAGGACGUUACCAUGAGUAACAACGUCUUUUUUUCCUACAAUUGAAGACUUCACCUUUAUGACAAAUGGGAUAAAUUCAUUUUCUCCUUUAGCAGACACUUGAAAUGUAGUAGUUCAUUGGAAGGGGCGGGGGAAACUCACUGUUGAAAUCCAUUUAGUUUUAGUCUUGACAAAAAUGAAAGGAAUGGAGAUUAACAAUUCAAAAAUGGAGCUGGUUAAUUAAAAUUAACUCCAAUUAUACAACUUGCCAUGCAGCUCACAGGGAAUCAUGUCUCUCCUGCUUGAUUAUGAUGAUGAAAACUUAUCUUUUACUGGGAUAAAAUGAAGUCCUUCUCAUCAGAGAGAAAAACUGUUUCCCAAGCCUGGCUGCAGAAGUGUUUGUUUUUCUAGAAAUAGUAAUAAUACAGCCUCUCAAGUGACGCAUUAAAGAAAGCUGCUCUCCAGACCGAGCUAUGAAUUAGCGUAUGUUUGAAUAUGGGGGAAAUCUUCUCACAUAGGAAUCUAAACUUAAUAGGCC